rnacentral:lncRNA from 1 species
CGGGCUGUCUCCUAACAAAGGGAAAAGCAGCAUGAAGCAACAGGGAGUUGUUUUAUAGGAGUGGGGUGGAGUUAACUUGAGCUGAGGUGGAGUUGAGUGCGGUAGCAUUAAGAGAUUGGAGGAGCCUGUGACAUCACUAGGAGGGGCUUGUGACAUCACCGGUUACUCAGAGGUAGCAAGCAUCAGGUUACUUUUUAGGCAUGAAAAAAGGGAUGAUGGGAAGAAGGCUGUCCCUUGGUAGGAGGAGCCAUAUUUACCAUGGAGGCUGCUGCUAUUCCAGGUGGCAGCCAUCUUAAGGCACAGAGCAUUAUGGGGAGGAGGCUACUGUUUUAUGUAGCAGCCAUCUUGAGAUUAUUACAAGGUACACAGGAGUACUUACUUUUCAACAACUGUUACACCUUGAAACCAUCUGAGAAGUGA